rnacentral:lncRNA from 10 species
CUUUCAUCCUGAGAGGAAGGAGAUAAUCACAUGGCCAUUUUAUGCUUGAAGGAUUUGGUGAUCACUGGGUCCAAUGAAGAGCCUCAGGAUGAGUCAGUGUGGUUUUACCCAGGCAUGGAGAAAUUAACUUCUUGAUGAUGAUCAAGUCUUCUUAUUAAAUAGGAGUGCAACUGAUAGAGGAUCUUCUUACAUUUGCUUUAUUUCAUGGUGCUGCCCAAAUUCAUGCUGUACCCUCAGCAGCAAGGAGUGGGACCAUUACUCCUGGCGUUCCCAGAUGGAACAGACACCAAGCCUGGCUUUGCCACUGAACACAAUACAGGACUGAUAAAGUUUGGAAAGCCAAAGUUACAAACCAGGGAUUCAGAUGAGUGUUCUGUGAAAUUUUUAAUUUUUGCAGAACACCAUGAGAAAUUACACAUUUUCUAUUCUAUAUUUCUUGUAGGAAAUAGAGGCUGCCCAUCUCUCAGUGCCACAUAUGAGAAAGGGAAGUUGUCAUUUUAUAUAUCCACUGUCAAGCAUCUUGGUAAAACAGAAGAAAGCAGGCUGGGCCUGGUGGCUCAUGCCUAUAAUCCCAGCACUUUGGGAGGCCAAGGAGGGCAGAUAGCUUGACCAGCAUGGGCAACAUGGCAAAAUCCUGUCUCUACAAAAAAAUAAAAAAAAACAAAAAAUAAAUGUAGUCCCAGGUACUGAGGAAGCUGAGGCAGGAGGAACACUUGAGCCUGGGAGGUAAAGGCUUCAGUGAGCCGUGAUAAUGCCACUGCACUCCAGCCUAGACAACAGAGUGAGACCCUGUCUCAAGAAAAAGAAAAACAAGAGGGAGGCAAUCUACUUUAUACCCAGAGAAUUUUACAUGCAAGGAAUUUGACUAUGAAUAAGCCUCCAUUGCUUAAGAGAGACUUCACUAUUUGGGAUUUUAAGAAAGAAAUACACAAACAAGCAAAUCUCAUCAGCAGAGGACUGAGAAACCAGUGUUUAUAAUACCCAGUGAUUAAUGUAAUAUUGUCUUCAGUCAUCAUUAAAAGGGACUUAGUUUAAAAGUCAUUUCGAUUGAUCGCCAACUCAGAGUCCUCAACAUUUCACCUUUUGCUUUAUGAAAAGAACUAGUAGAUUAAUUUAGAGUUUGACAAGGAGAAGCAGGUCUCCCUUGAUUUUCUGUUUGGCCAAGAAUUUAUCCUAACAUGGUACCAUCAGAAUACUGUCAGAAAGCUGUGAGUCAACUCAGAUUUCUCACCAUUGAGUCAAGCCGUGAAGCCAGCUGUCUUGGGGGUAAGGAUUUCCAUACAGAAACACU